AAGCGGUGGAGCAUGUGGUUUAAUUCGAUGCAACGCGAAGAACCUUACCUGGCUUGACAUCCCGGGAAUCCCCUGGAAACAGGGGAGUGCCCUUCGGGAACCCGGUGACAGGUGCUGCAUGGCUGUCGUCAGCUCGUGUCGUGAGAUGUUGGGUUAAGUCCCGCAACGAGCGCAACCCUUGUCUUUAAUUGCCAUCAUUUAGUUGGGCACUUUAAAGAGACUGCCGGUGUUAAGCCGGAGGAAGGUGGGGAUGGCGUCAAGUCCUCAUGGCCUUUAUGCCCAGGGCUACACACGUGCUACAAUGGUCGGUACAAAGGGUUGCCAAGCCGCGAGGUGGAGCUAAUCCCAUAAAACCGAUCGUAGUCCGGAUCGCAGUCUGCAACUCGACUGCGUGAAGUCGGAAUCGCUAGUAAUCGCAGGUCAGCAUACUGCGGUGAAUACGUUCCCGGGCCUU
rnacentral:rRNA from 1 species